CGAGAGUGCAGAUUGUAGGCCUUGUUGCAGUUAUUUUUUAAUUGGAUGUUUUAGUUCUAAUAAUAUUUAAAUAUAUAUUUUACAAUACCACCUAAUCAAAAAAGAAAUAUUAUUAAUCCAUCAAUAUAUACUAUAUUAUCCUUUUAAACAUGUUAAUAAUACACAUGCAAUAAUAAACUGGAUUGAGGCCACAGCCGGAACCGGCG
rnacentral:misc_RNA from 1 species